GAUGAAGAACGUAGCGAAAUGCGAUAAGUAACGUGAAUUGCAGAAUUCAGUGAAUCAUCGAAUCUUUGAACGCACAUUGCGCCCAUUAGUAUUCUAGUGGGCAUGCCUGUUCGAGCGUCAUUAAGUCCACUUAAGCCCUGCUUAGUGUUGGGAGACUGCUCCAGCGGUGCUACCCUGUAGCUACCCUGCAGCUCCUCAAAGACAGCGGCGGAGUUGUGGUAUCCUCUGAGCUUAGUAACUUGUUCUAGCUUUCGAGUACACCACUUCCCCUGCCGUAAAACCCUUAAUUUUUAAUGGUUGACCUCGGAUCAGGUAGGAAUACCUGCUGAACUUAAGCAUAUCAAUAAGCGGAGGA
rnacentral:misc_RNA from 1 species